rnacentral:rRNA from 1 species
UACGUAGGGGGCGAGCGUUGUCCGGAUUCAUUGGGCGUAAAGCGCGCGUAGGCGGCCCGGCAGGUCGGGGGUGAAAACACGGGGCCCAACCCCGUGCCUGCCCCCGAAACCGCCGGGCUCGAGUCCCGCAGGGGAUGGCGGAACUCCCGGUGUAGCGGUGGAAUGCGCAGAUAUCGGGAGGAACACCGGUGGCGAAGGCGGCCAUCUGGGCGGGCACUGACGCUGAGGCGCGAGAGCCGGGGGAGCGAACAGG